rnacentral:rRNA from 1 species
UACGAAGGGGGCUAGCGUUGCUCGGAAUCACUGGGCGUAAAGGGUGCGUAGGCGGGUCUUUAAGUCAGGGGUGAAAUCCUGGAGCUCAACUCCAGAACUGCCUUUGAUACUGAGGAUCUUGAGUUCGGGAGAGGAGAGUGGAAUUCCCAGUGUAGAGGUGAAAUUCGUAGAUAUUGGGAAGAACACCGGUGGCGAAGGCGGCUCUCUGGACCGACACUGACGCUGAGGCGCGAAAGCGUGGGGAGCAAACAGG